rnacentral:rRNA from 1 species
AGUCGACGAACUUCUUUAUCACCGAGUGCUUGCACUCACCGGUAAAGGGUUGAGUGGCGAACGGGUGAGUAACACGUGGGCAACCUGCCCAAAAGAGGGGGAUAACACUUGGAAACAGGUGCUAAUACCGCAUAACCAUAGUUACCGCAUGGUAGCUAUGUAAAAGGUGGCUAUGCUACCGCUUUUGGAUGGGCCCGCGGCGCAUUAGCUAGUUGGUGGGGUAAAGGCUACCAAGGCAAUGAUGCGUAGCCGAACUGAGAGGUUGAUCGGCCACAUUGGGACUGAGACACGGCCCAAACUCCUACGGGAGGCAGCAGUAGGGAAUCUUCCACAAUGGGCGAAAGCCUGAUGGAGCAACGCCGCGUGGGUGAAGAAGGUCUUCGGAUCGUAAAACCCUGUUGUUAGAGAAGAAAGUGCGUGAGAGUAACUGUUCACGUUUCGACGGUAUCUAACCAGAAAGCCACGGCUAACUACGUGCCAGCAGCCGCGGUAAUACGUAGGUGGCAAGCGUUAUCCGGAUUUAUUGGGCGUAAAGGGAACGCAGGCGGUCUUUUAAGUCUGAUGUGAAAGCCUUCGGCUUAACCGGAGUAGUGCAUUGGAGACUGGGAGACUUGAGUGCAGAAGAGGAGAGUGGAACUCCAUGUGUAGCGGUGAAAUGCGUAGAUAUAUGGAAGAACACCAGUGGCGAAAGCGGCUCUCUGGUCUGUAACUGACGCUGAGGUUCGAAAGCGUGGGUAGCAAACAGGAUUAGAUACCCUGGUAGUCCACGCCGUAAACGAUGAAUGC